rnacentral:rRNA from 1 species
UAGAGUUUGAUCCUGGCUCAGGAUGAACGCUAGCUACAGGCUUAACACAUGCAAGUCGAGGGGCAGCAUGGUCUUAGCUUGCUAAGGCCGACGGCGACCGGCGCACGGGUGAGUAACACGUAUCCAACCUGCCGUCUACUCUUGGACAGCCUUCUGAAAGGAAGAUUAAUACAAGAUGGCAUCAUGAGUCCGCAUGUUCACAUGAUUAAAGGUAUUCCGGUAGACGAUGGGGAUGCGUUCCAUUAGGUAGUAGGCGGGGUAACGGCCCACCUAGCCAACGAUGGAUAGGGGUUCUGAGAGGAAGGUCCCCCACAUUGGAACUGAGACACGGUCCAAACUCCUACGGGAGGCAGCAGUGAGGAAUAUUGGUCAAUGGACGAGAGUCUGAACCAGCCAAGUAGCGUGAAGGAUGAAGGUCCUACGGAUUGUAAACUUCUUUUAUAAGGGAAUAAACCCUCCCACGUGUGGGAGCUUGUAUGUACCUUAUGAAUAAGCAUCGGCUAACUCCGUGCCAGCAACCGCGGUAAUACGGAGGAUGCGAGCGUUAUCCGGAUUUAUUGGGUUUAAAGGGAGCGCAGACGGGUCGUUAAGUCAGCUGUGAAAGUUUGGGGCUCAACCUUAAAAUUGCAGUUGAUACUGGCGUCCUUGAGUGCGGUUGAGGUGUGCGGAAUUCGUGGUGUAGCGGUGAAAUGCUUAGAUAUCACGAAGAACUCCGAUUGCGAAGGCAGCACACUAAUCCGUAACUGACGUUCAUGCUCGAAAGUGUGGGUAUCAAACAGGAUUAGAUACCCUGGUAGUCCACACGGUAAACGAUGGAUACUCGCUGUUGGCGAUAUACUGUCAGCGGCUUAGCGAAAGCGUUAAGUAUCCCACCUGGGGAGUACGCCGGCAACGGUGAA